UCACUUCCUACCAGGUCCUUCCCUUGACAUGUGGGGAUUACAAUUCCAGAUGAGAUUUGAGUGGAACAGAGCCAAACCGUCUCACUUGCACCCCGGAUGUGCUGACCCCUGUGAUUUCCCCAAGUGUGGGACACUCGCCUGCAUAAUUUGUGGUAGUGGGGGACUGCAUUCAUACUUUCCCCUG
ensembl:snRNA U1 U1 spliceosomal RNA